rnacentral:hammerhead_ribozyme from 1 species
GUACUGCUGAAGAGUCCCAAACUAGGAUGAACCAGCUGUCCAGUAC